rnacentral:lncRNA from 1 species
GACAUUAACAAAAUUUAAGAUUUAUUGAUAUAAUUUGCCCUCUCAAUGACAAGUCCUACAGCCAAUCAACUUACCAUCAAUCGCAAAAUCAAUAUCAUUUUCUAAAUACCUGUCUGAGUACAAGAACCCAAAAACAAUUCGAGUCGCUAGAUGUUGUGACACCUACGGGAGAGGACUCUUGCAUGCCUCGUGAAAGUAGAGGGCAUGGUAGCAGCAUCACUAUCUUAUCUAUCGGUGUAACCAUGUGCUCGUGCAAGAAAGCUCUAGCUUGAUAAUCCAAUCACUCCCGACCCAACAAACAAAUUGCUGAAGGUAAACAAUUCAUAAACACAUAUGUCAAUGGUACACCUAAACCCAGACCAUUUGGUAGAGUGUCCCCAUUUGAAGCACUGUCUUUCUAGCAAACCUGACACAGAAAAAAAAAUGGGCACAAGUUCUCCCAGCAAGCUUUGGUCAAAUGAGAAGUCACCCUCAGCUUUGGUGCUAAAGAAAAC